ACAAUCUUUUGCACUAUGUAAUUGAUCAGUGCGUUUUGCCAGCAACUACGUUCGCGUAGAUCGGCAUCGACCGUCGUACUUCAUCUCGGCGUCGGUGUUUUCGCUCCUGGCAUAGAAAAAACCAUACACACCCGUUGCUGGGCACCUGGCUUUGAGCAGUCGUCUUGACUAUCAUGAGAAGUUGGGAAUCAGCUGAGGUUACAUAU
rnacentral:snoRNA from 1 species